ACCUAGGGCCAUCUUUCUGAAGUAUUCUCUUGGCAAUAGUGAAUGGCUUCUGAAUCACUGAAUGCCACACACUGCAAAGGACUCACAAGUUCCCCCACCCAAUGGGCAAUAGAGAAAAAGCCAGGAAGUGAGAGUGGUUAAAGUGGAGGAGUCCAGCUGCCAAGGUGCUGCCCAAACCAGAUGCAAAUGUCCCUUGGGAAGGGUUCACAAACUAAAUCCCAAUACGACAUAGCAUCCAUUGGGGGUUCUUGGGGUCAACGUGCCACCCACUGCUGGGCUACAGCAUGGUACCAGUGCAGAAUUAUGUGCCACGGGGUGCAGAAACAAUGCCAUCAGGGAGAUGGAGAGCUAGAAAAAAAAGGAGGGAGGUGGCUCAUGAACAAGAAAGGUUGGAAAUUCUCUUUUUUUUUUUUGAGUGUCUAUAAGAUUCUCUUUCAAUCCGAUUAACCAAAUAAAUUUUGAGCACAUACUGUGUACAGAACACUCAGUCACUUACCAGCUGUGUGACCCUGGGUAAGUCACUUCACCCUGUUUCCCUCAGUUUCCUCAUCUGUAAAGAGAGCCGGAGAAAGACCCGGCAACUAGCUCCAGUACCUCUGCCAAGAAAACCUGAAAUGGGGUCACAAAGAGUCAGACACCAUGGAUGGCAUGUACCAAACAUUGUGCCUUUUUCCUGGUGUACACACAAAGAAAAGUAAGCCUACAAAGCAAUUUGACUGGGGAGAAAACACUACAAGGCAGGAGACCAAGGAAGGCUUCAGGGAAGAAGCUGCCCUUGAAGAAAGAGCAGGAUUCCAAGAGAGGUGGGAGGACUGGGAGGAGCCAGGAAGGAAAUUUGACCAGAAGGAAAGACUGGGGAGUCAAACCCUCAGAGAGCACAUUAACAACAAAGUUACUUGGUUUCUUCACUAGAUAUGAAAAGAAGAACCUGCUGAUGCAUAGCCUGUUGUUUAGAAUGAGCCUUUUCUAAAAGCAGAACAAAAGGCUCACUCCUUCCUUCCUUCCUUCCUUCCUUCCUUCCUUCCUUCCUUCCUUCCUUCCUUCCUUCCUUCCUUCCUUCCUUCGAAUGGGCUUUUGGAGCAGCAUUUGGAGGAAGCUUUUCUAACCACAGGUCUGGGUUGAAUGAAGGAAGGUUUUCCUGGUCUUCACUGUGAAGCUAAUGGACAAAGGUGUUUUGCAAGCCUUGUAGAAACGUUGGCCGUAUAGAUGGAGAGCUACAAAAGCCAACCAGAGCAAUUGGACAAGAAAAAUCAGUGCCAGGAGUCAGAUGCCUUCAGAGGGAGAGGUACCCACCUCCGAAGCCCAUUGCCUCAGUAAACGCCAAAUUGGCACCAUCUAUCCUCUAUCCUCUUUUGCUUUGUUUGCUUCAACGUUCCCAGUGAGGUCAAACAGACCGAAAGAGAAAGACGCUGUUGGAGGAGGCCGGGCGGUGGCUUAAGCGUUUUCUUGGAGGGCAGACCAAGGAAGAAGAGGUAGAAGCAGUGAGAGGGUUAAUUCUGGCUCCUUGACUGCCCCAGGAGCUCCUUGCCCUCACUGGACGACUCCAAGCAGAAGUGGACACAUGGGAGCCCAGGAGGCCCCGAGCUGUUCACACAUUGAUUGGGAAAAUCUCUUCACGGAAUCCCCGAGCCCCAAGGGACCUCAGCUGGAGUGUUGGGGCCAGAGUAAUUCUGCCUCAGAAUGGCGGGGGUCUCGGGAGCGGAACCCAGGCCUCCUGGGAGGUGGGGGGGCCUUCCCAAGAGUCCUCUGGCCUACUGAGUACCACUUCUUCCCCCUGAGCUUGCCCCUCCACCCCCCAGUUUUUCAGACUGGCUGCCAUUUUACCAGGCCUCACGGAUCCAUCCAGAAUCCACCUCUUCAAUCUCAGUGCCCGACUUUCUAUUUCUUCCUGUGGGCCUCGCCCUCCUCUCCCUUCCUCCUCACUUUGACCAAGGCUGUUGGCCUCCUCAAGGGAGCUCCUCUCUGAGGAGGGAGUUCAGGGGACCCCUGACUAGAGGCCAUCUAGGUCUAGAUCCUCCAGAGAAGGAACAGCCCUCACCUGCCCACCCGCUCCUUGAGUUCCACUCCCUCCUCAGAACCCAGCUUUGGGGGAGCUGCUUAGAAGGGCCCCCAUGUUCCCUCCCCCCCAACCACAGCCCCAAGGUGUGAAGACAACAGCAGCUCAAAGCAGCCCCCAGCCUUCCUGCCUGGAGGAGGCCAGGGGUGUGGAAAGGAUACAGGUGCUCCUCUGCUCUUCACACCUCUGCCACAGGCCCGCCUGGAGCUGCUUCCUUCUGAGUAAUUUCCUUCCCUCCUGACCCCAGCCCAGCCUGCCUCUCUUCAGAGUCU